rnacentral:rRNA from 16 species
GACUCUCGGCAACGGAUAUCUUGGCUCUCGCAUCGAUGAAGAACGUAGCGAAAUGCGAUACCUGGUGUGAAUUGCAGAAUCCCACGAACCAUCGAGUCUUUGAACGCAAGUUGCACCCGAGGCCACUCCGCCGAGGGCAUGCCUGCCUGGGCGUCA